GGGGACGGGCUGCGGCCUGUCGGACGGAGCAAACGGGGGCGGAGAAACACCUUGUGGUGAAAAACGUGGAUGUGGGGAGUGUGUGGGGAAGCACCGACUUCAUGAAGGGUUUGUGAGGCGAGCGGGGCAGCGUGGCCUUCAUGUUGUUGAAACACAGCUUCACAGCAUCGUAGAAUGAUCUGGGUUGGAGGGGACCUCAAGGACCAUCCAGUUCCAAUCCCCUGCCAUGGAUAGGGACACCUUCCACUAGACCAGGCUGCUCCAGGCCCCAUCCAACCUGGCCUAGAACACUGCCAGGGACAGGGCACCCACAGCUUCUCUGGAGAACCUGUGCCAGAGAAGUGUCUCACCACCUUCGCAUUGAAGAAUUUCUUCCUGAAAGCAAUGAAGAGAAGGCGAUCCAAAGACUUGAGUAGAAGCUUCGGGCAGACCUUGGGGGCUGUACACAGUGCUUACACCCUGCUGGCCAGCAGGAUUUAUUACACCUGCAUGCAUACACACAGACUUCUUUUUCCACAUCUUAUUUCUUCUCACCUUUCCUCCUGUAAGCUAAGAAAUGCCAGUCUAGACACAGACCUUUUCUAUUCUAAAUACAUGGCAGAAUGUAUACAUCUGUGUUGAAGACCAUCUUGCCUUCUGAAGUUCAGUUUGUGUAUAAUUGCUUCCAGCAUCAGGUAGAGAUGCAUUUAACAUAUAUCACUACUUUUCAUCAUGCUAUAAAGCACUAAAAUAAAAUUUAUUUUAGUGAUGGCAAUGACAAUACACCUAAAUUGUCAAAACAUCAUCAAAAUGCCUAUGGAUUUUUAUAUGCAGACCUGUCUUCCUAUAUUUUUCAGACCUACAUUAUUUCCACAGAUUUAGAAUUUCAAGAUUGGGGUCAGACUGAUCAAGAUGCAUAAAACUGACUGUAAACAAUGAGGAGGAUUCUGGCCUGCUUGAUGCACUUUAGCUUUUCAGACUUUUGAAGGUUCAGUUUAUGUAGCAAGAAAGUUUGUAGGGCUCUGAUUUUUGUUCUCAUGAUAAACCAUUUUAAGAUUAGAAGUUCUUGACAGAAAAAUAAUUAAAAAUUUGAAAUUGCAGUGGCUCAGAAACUAUGGAGAGACCUAUUAAAUAUUUUAAAUAUUAACUUAUAGUUAAAUAUUAAAAAGUAAAUAUUUACUCAGCAGGAGCAAUUAUGGCAAAAACAUGGAAAAAUGUAGACAAUUUUUAUAAUAUUGAAUUACAGGUGGCUUUAAAUAAAUAAUUUAAAAUUUU